CCUACGGGUGGCUGCAGUGAGGAAUAUUGGUCAAUGGGCGGGAGCCUGAACCAGCCAAGCCGCGUGAGGGAAGAAGGUACAGCGUAUCGUAAACCUCUUUUGUCAGGGAACAAAGGCGGGGACUAGUCCCCGGAUGAGGGUACCUGAAGAAAAAGCAUCGGCUAACUCCGUGCCAGCAGCCGCGGUAAUACGGGGGAUGCAAGCGUUAUCCGGAUUUAUUGGGUUUAAAGGGUGCGUAGGCUGUGAGGUAAGUCAGCGGUGAAAUGCCCCCGCUCAACGGGGUGAAGUGCCAUUGAUACUGCCUUGCUGGAAUGCGGAUGCCGUGGGAGGAAUGUGUGGUGUAGCGGUGAAAUGCAUAGAUAUCACACAGAACACCGAUUGCGAAGGCAUCUCACGAAUCCGCGAUUGACGCUGAUGCACGAAAGCGUGGGUAUCAAACAGGAUUAGAUACCCGGGUAGUC
rnacentral:rRNA from 1 species